UAUAUAUAUAUAUAUAUAUAUAUAUAUAUAUAAUUACAAUGGUAAUAACAUUAUUUAUAUUGUAAGUUUAGAUUAAGGUAGUUUAGGAAAUUUCUAUUGUUAUUUAUUUUUGUUAAUUAUGUUGUUUAUAUUGUAUAAAAUGUGAUAAAAUAUAAUUAUAUUUUCUAUUGAUUGUGUGAUUGAUUAUGUACAUCAGAGGUAAUUAUAAACUAUGCUGAAUCUGCAUCAGACGUGUUGUGUGUGACGGCAUCGCAAUACAUCUCAUAAAUAUAUGUUUACUACCCUCCCAACUUUUAUUGUAAUACAUCUUAAGAAGUUAAUAAUUUUAAUUUAGAGAAAGGCUCGUAACUAUCAGCACCAGCCUUAUAAAUAAAUAAACAUCGUGUCCACAAAAUGUAAGGAGACUUGUUAAGAAUUUUGCACUGACAAAUAUUUGAAUAUCUCUCAACAAUGAUGUCUUAAGUGACUGUCGACCAGGUUUUCAUACAAAUCACUGUUACGGGUGGUUUGGUGUGGAUCAUAGGUUGGCGGGAUGAUUUUCUCUUUCUUUAAUUAUCAUAGACUGACUGCGUAAAUUAUGUACUUCUGCAGGGUAAAUUUAAAGUAGUAGCGUUUACUAUAUCUUGCAUUUUAUCGCCUGAAAUCUAUGUGUAAAAGAAGAAGUAGCACAAAAAGGAUGAACACAGACGUCACUAGAACACUGUACACGGUGCCUUCUGAUGGCCAUAUGUAAGCACAUAAGGUACUCAUUACGUAUGGUUACCAUUGACAGGACAUAGUAAUAUUUUUAAACACAGAGUACAUUUUUCAAACUAUGCGUAUAAAUAUAUAACAAUUAUAAAGAAAUAAAACAAAAAUUAUUGUCUGAACGUAUUAUGAUUUUUUUCAACAGAUGCCUACAAAUUAGUGAAUUUCACCACAGCUUUUUCAGUCGUAGUGACAGGGCUUUGCAGCCAUUGCACGCCAAGUUUCAUACAUCUUGGCAAUUAAAGUUUUUGUUUCUUUAUUUCCAACGGGCAUAAUCCACUUUACAACGUGUACAUAAUAUGGCAGACAAGAUAGACAAAAAUAAACAUCUGUAUAAACACAAUAAUAAAUAAUCAGGGUAUGACACCACAAUAAGGAUAAAGAUGGCUUAUGUAGAUAUAUAAAAACAAACUAACUGCGUAGGGAAUAAAUAAUAAAACUAUAUAAAAAGUUAAUAAUACAUGAAGCAAUAACAGAAAAAAACAAGAGAGAAUCGUAAUACCAACAGCAAUAGAAAUAACAUGGAUAAAAAUAACAAUGACUGAUAAUGUUAACAAUCCAACUUAUAUAAAAGAACAAUAUCAAUCAACUUUAUCAAUGAUAUUGUCAGAAGUAGUUAGUGAGAAACGCCUAAGGGCCGUAAACGUUAUAUUUACGUUCAGAUGGGUUCACCACAUUGCACCAUACUACAUUUCAUCAUUUGUUUUGAAAUUUAAAGAAUGGAGAUGCCUUAAAAUUCUUAAUUUGAAUACCGUAGCAUUCUUAAUGAAUCUUGAAUUAAAAUUCUCGAUUUUAGAAUUCCUUUUCCCACACCAUCACUUCCAUUGACGGCAGAUUCAGUUUGGGAUAGCACUUCGGGAUAUGUGUAUGGCACUGCUGAGGUUAAUGUGUGAAUACAAGGUUGAAUAUUCUUUAGGUGGAUAAGUUUUAGUUUUAAAGUUAAACUUUAUGUUGUAUAUGUUUUAUUAUAUUAUUUGUCUUAGGAGUGUAUUAUAUUUAACACUUUCACUGUAACAUGAGGCUUGUUCUGACUUGAAGACAACUGGGAGAGAAGCUAAUGCAUCCACCACAGUCAUCAAUGAUUUGCUAAAGUAUUAAAAAAGGUCCUGUGGUGUCCUGACUAUUUUCGUAGGUAAACAUAUUGAAUUUUGUGAUUAAUUGUUAUCUUUAUAAUAAAGAAUGAAUAAAUGAAAAA